GCCUCUGUAGCAGAAUUGGAAUAUGCGCCGGGCUAAGAACCCGGGUCUUUUGCGGGUUCGAUCCCCGCCGGAGGUA
rnacentral:tRNA from 1 species